rnacentral:rRNA from 1 species
AACGAACGCUGGCGGCAGGCCUAACACAUGCAAGUCGAGCGCCCCGCAAGGGGAGCGGCGGCCGGGUGAGUAACGCGUGGGAAUAUGCCCUUUGCUACGGAAUAGUCUCGGGAAACUGGGGGUAAUACCGUAUACGCCCUUUGGGGGAAAGAUUUAUCGGCGAAGGAUUAGCCCGCGUUGGAUUAGGUAGUUGGUGGGGUAAUGGCCUACCAAGCCGACGAUCCAUAGCUGGUUUGAGAGGAUGAUCAGCCACACUGGGACUGAGACACGGCCCAGACUCCUACGGGAGGCAGCAGUGGGGAAUCUUAGACAAUGGGGGCAACCCUGAUCUAGCCAUGCCGCGUGAGUGAUGAAGGCCUUAGGGUUGUAAAGCUCUUUCAGCUGGGAAGAUAAUGACGGUACCAGCAGAAGAAGCCCCGGCUAACUCCUG